UUUGAGUUCCUGUCCUUACUUUCUUCAGUGGUGAAUUGUAGCAUGGGAGCAUAAACCAGGUAAACCCCUUCCUUCCCACCUGGCUUUGGUUGUGGUGUUUUAUCAUAGCGAUCGUGUCUAACUAUGACACUUGCAUCCGCCUGUGGCCUGUCCUGAUAAUAAAAUCCAGAACACCAAGUGAAACCUGAAGUUCAGUUAAACGACGAAUAAUUUUUAGUGUAAGCUUGUCGCGUGUAACACGGGAAACAUGCGAAACUAACCACACUUUACCUGGCAUCCAAAUGAAUUAGCAUCCUGUAUUUUUGACUUGCUAAUUCGGAUGAAGGUUGGCUUUAGGGAUGCUGUAGGGAACAGGAGGUAGGUUAAGCCAUUGCAGCUGCCACAAGAUAGGCUACCUUACCUCCUCCCAGCAUUCAGUGGUAGUGAGAAAUGGGGCUAAUACAGCAGCCCCAGUGGCCUCUCAUCACCUCAGAAGUGUUACUCUUUUCAUGAGUGCAUCUCAUUGUCAGGUUUUUAAGCAGAGCUUGCGGGUGGCUGGUCCUUCACUGUUCAGCAUGGAGGACCUGGCCCAGAACAGUUGUGUGGUAACCAUUUCUUAAACGAAUGGACAAGUUUUAAAGCGCACCACCCCAGAAGUGGCUGACGGUCCUUGGUGGCCGUAUUACGUCAGUGUUUGUCAGCUGCCAACACACACUCAAGACAAGUUAUAGAGAGAAGAGGUUUUCAGGCUCUAGGUCAGGAGGUUCCAUAUGAGGCAGGCAUUGAUUUUGGGCCUUUUCUAGGGGAGCCUGAAGGUGAUGGCAGGUAGUUGUGAGAAGCAACAACGUCCACCUCACGGCUAAGAUACAAAACAGAGGAAGAGGAGAGGGCUGGGGUCUUAAAUCCCCUUAAAGAACACACCCACUGUGACCUAAUAUGUCUCACUAAGAGUGACGUCAUAAAGCUUCCAUUGCUGGACGCCAAGCCUCCGGGGACUUUGGGUCAGACAUUUAUCCAAACCAUAUCAAUGUCUAUGGUCCGGUGUUGUCUAUUUCAGGUUGAGUCAGAUGUUGACAGAGUAUGAAGGCCCAUCAGGGCCAUAGAGCAGUAGAGUAGCCUUUGAGUCGGCCUCUUAGUGUGAUUCAGGUAUGGGGUAUAACCAGAACAUUUAGUCUGACUGCUGCACACGGCCUGUCUGAUAACCCCAUCCUGUCCAGCAUGGUGUCUGCACGCUGAACAUUCUUAGCAGAUGGUGGGCUCUAUGCUCAUUACUCUUAAUACGAUUUAUUACCACUGAAGGGACUCGAGGAUAAAAGGAAAACCUGCCAAUAGUGUCACUGGGGCAACAAGCCAGCAGAGCUAUUCUUGGAAAUGUGGAGCUUCGGGCAUGGGACCUUUGAGCAUGAAGCAGCAAAUGGCAAAUACAGUGCAGAUUCCCCUAGGCAGCGUGGUGCUUAGGCUCAUCCUUUACACACCAUGAUGAUGUAAUCCCACCAGCUCCGCUCGGACGCACUUCCUCCUGGAAGAACGUUUACCAGAGUCAGUCUAUGCUAAGUCUGUCACGAUCUAAUUCAGAUGAUGUUCUGCUGCGUGCGUAACUGGAACAUCCCAAGGGAAGGGUCUACGUGAUUUAAUUUUGUACUAUAGCAUCCAGCACACUUCCCGGUUUUAUGAUGUAUGUUUGUAUCAGAUAGAGUAGGCUGGGUUUUUGCCGCAGUACAAAGAUGUGCUUUCAGAUUUUGGCAGCUUAUUUUAACCAAGGGUUACUUUCUUGCCCAUGUCAUUUGUUCUCUGUUGGUCCUGAUGUUGUUUGUCCUCUGUUGGUCGGCAUAGGGAGGAGUUCACUGACUCCUCAUCUGAGACCUAGGGUGUAGGGCAAGUUUUGAACGGAAUGUUGAAAUCCUCUUGAUAGAGCCACAGUAUGGAGCCCCAGGCUGCCUCUCAAAGCUCCUCAGAACAAUUACUUCCACUUAUACCUCAUGACAAACCAAACCACGCAGUCAAGCUGACCUCCUGAGAAGAAGGGAAAUACCAUUCUCCCUCACGGAAGAAGAGAAAAGGUUUUUGAACAAGAAUACAAUCUUCUACAGUGCCCAGGUCAAGCAAAAUUCUAUGAAUUUUGUAUUUGUGAAUGCAAUGUUUGGUACCACUGCAGCAACAAUUAUAUGGAUUCAAAUGGAAUCCCAUUACAACUGCUCUUUGGAGACGCACCGCUCUCUGAAAAGGGAGUGAACCAAGCAAGCCUGAGCUAUUCUUAGUCUAGCCCUGGCUCUUAUACUCGGACUGUGUGGGACCAGAAAGACGAGCCCUUAGAGAAAGAGGAAACUACAUCCGAGAACAUGGGAUGGGCUUCUCAAAGCAAUCGAGGCCUAUUAAAACACCUUUUAAACCUAGACUUUAAACACAGGAAUUGUUGAGGGACACGUGGAGAAGAGCUGGGACCUACCCAAGCACACAUGUGUGUUUCUCAGGAAGAGUCACAAGAGAUUAUGGGAUGGCUCUGGAGAUGCCUCAGAAGGGAUAACAACCUGAUAAGGUAAAACCAGGAGCCUCUGGGAUUGCCCAAGGGGCUUAAGACAUGCCCUUUACUGGAAAUGGGGCUGCUGUUGUUGAGAUGCCUUGAAAAUUUCAGGCUCUCAGCUGGGAAAGGAGAAAGGUCUUAAACAGCCAUUGCCUGACUUGCUUCAACUAUACUGAUAGGAUUUGAGUUUUCCACUCCUCUUACGCCCUCUCAUUUUCAAGGUGCUUCUGUCCUGCCUCCGUCUUGAUCUCUAGGAAAAUGUUAAAGAAAGGGGAGAGGAGACCAACCUGCCAUAGAGUUCUAAAUUAAGAUAUUGAACAUCUUGUGUGUUGGGAGAAAUGCAUACAUAUGUAAUGAAUGACCUUGCAUUUAUGGUGCUUGUCCCUCCAGGAGUGUCUGUGCUUUGUAUAGCUCAACUCCAUUUCCUCCUGGCCACUGAGCUCUCUUGCCUUCUUCUCGAAUGUCUUCCAGGUGGAACUGCAUAGGAUGCAUCCUUCUGAUGGCUUCUUUCGCUUGGCAACGUGUUCAGUUUCCCCUGUGUCUUCUCCUAGAUCGAACAUUCAUUUUGCUUGCUGAGUAACACCUGGGUGCAGGUACUGAAUUCCAGGUCAAGGGUUCUGCUGAAGUGGAAUUAAAAUAAAAUGUGGCUUACACAGUGUGCUGCAGGAGAUGGACUAAACACACCACGGUCCUCACAAGUGAAAGUUUAGUGAAUGACCUGCCACACGGUCUCUCAUGAAAUAUCUGGGUAGAGUUUUCUCUUAUAGGGUACCUUUUUUUUCCAUUUUGGGGAGUUUCCCCAUUGUCACAGAAAAUCCCAUUCGAGGGGUUUCGCUAAAUGUUGGACUCUAUUAGUGAAGAGAGAUCUUCCUGUUGAAACACAGGACUGGAUUUUUGAGUGGAGCAAGAGUGUCCCCUUCACAGAACAUGUUCACGAAUCAAAGCCCUGUAGGAGGAACUGGCAUUUCUUGCUAUCGCAUCGACUCCAGUGGCUGAGUCUUUGGCCUGAAAGGAUCCCUCCAUGCUAAAUGAAGAAGACCUGAUAGAGGAGAGCAAAGAAGAGAAGUGGGAAAUGGAGAGAAUUCAAAGAGCCAGUUCAGAGACUGCCGAGAGGAGAGAUCCAGCUGACUCUGGUUUUCUGUUGUUGAGAAAUAGUCACUGUCCCACAGAAGCUGCCACAGGUGUAACAAUGUGGAGAGAACUCUGUGUGUGUGUUAAUGUAUGUAUUUAUGUGCAUGGGUGUGAUGUGUGUUUGUGUUGUGUGUAUAUGUG
rnacentral:sRNA from 1 species